ACCUGGCACAUUGACCUGAGACAACGUGAAAUAAAAAUGAGAUAUUCUCCAAUCAUGUGAUGCUUGGACUAAAAAUAACACGUGCAUUUUUCAGUUCUGAACUCAGUAAAUGGCACAACGUGAGUCGAGUUUGAGAAAAACAGAGCCUAGUACAGAGGAUGAAUGAAGAAACCAACUCAUCCUGGUCAUUCAGGAAUGUGAAAAUUUCCCCCGUGGCUCCCAGGUCCACAGACUGAGGCUUCCUUGCACAGCCGAGGGCAUGAGGAUCCUGGGGUUAAUACACCAGCCAGAAUAAGCCUGUGGGAUUUAAGCCUGAAGCUUCUAUGAGGAGGUAAGCUGCCUUCAAAGAUCUUAGCCCUUUUGGUAUCUUUUACUUUUUUCCAGCAGAGAACUCAUACUUGGUACUGCUACAAAUUCAUAUUUGUUAGUUUGACACAAUGUGUCCUGAAUUCAUCUAAGGAAACUGUCCUUUAAUGUUAAUACUCUUUCCCUUUUUAGCGCAUUCAUCAUCCAUUGUAACAUCUCAGUCUCAACAAAGUCGACUCAUUUUCUAGGGAAAUUUUCUCUUUGAUGGCCACUGUUGACGAUGGAUUAAUCCACUCACAUGAUCUGUGCUGGACUUUCCCCCGGUGGCUCAGGUGGCAAAGAAUCUGCCUACUGUGGGUGGCGGGGAGUGGGUAGGCUGUGCAGGGGGACCCGGGUUUGAUCCCUGGGUUGGGAAGAUCUCUUGGAGAAGGGAGUGGCAAUUCAUUCCAGUAGUCUUCCCUGGAGAAUUCCACAGACAGAGGAGCCUGAUGGGUUACACUCCAUGGGAACACAAAGAGCUGGGCAUGACUGGACAACUAACACACAUGAUCUGUGCUAAUGGAUAUUCUGGCAGAUAAGUAAUUAGAAAGGUUCCCUCAAAUACCAGGUGCAGACCUUGCCUCUUGGACUGAGAAACCUUUUGGUGAGUCAGAGGAACAGGUUAAUUGUACUUAAUCUCAUGUAAACCAACUACCGGGAAAUAUUUGCUACUUACUCCAUAAUCAUUCUCCCUGUUUCCCCGUCAGCCUCCAUAUCCCACCCAUACAGCAAAGCUCAUCAAAGAGAGAAAACUCUAUGACA
rnacentral:lncRNA from 1 species